CCUUAUGGUCACAUUGGUUCCCAUGCAAUCAUUGAAGUUAAGCAACAUUGAGCCCAGUCAGUACCUAAAUGGGUGACCACUUGGGAAUACCAUGUGCUGUAA